UGUAUAAAUAAACAUACAGGCCCUAGGUAUAUGACUAAUAUACAAUCGAUGCUUCUGAUUGCGCCGCACUGUGGUGAUUCAGGUGGCCAAAAAUCGAUCGUCCGUCACAUCACAAAAUGCUUCUUGUGCUCGUUGUUCUAGCAUCGCGAUCCUGACAAUCGUGAAGUCUGUGGUUCGAGGUCGGAUGGCCGCAAAAUACUUCUUUUAACAUGACGUGUUGCUAUGGUAAAAUUGAGAAUUUUACCCGACAAGGAUUCCAUGACCAACGUUUUUGUGUGAAUAUGUGAAAUAGCAUAUGCCCGAAAUCAGUUAUCGUCUACCCCUGUUGGUUUGACCUCAUCUAAACUGAACACUUUUUAAUUUGACCCCCUCUAAUCUGCACAUCGUUCAAACUAAAAAUGGUACGUUGUGUUUCAAUAAAAGUGAUCCAUAAUCUGCGAAAUUAGUAUUGCGUAAACUUUUGAUAUUGGUCUCACAAAGAAGUGAAACAAGUACAAAAAUGACCACGUUUUCGUAUUGAGUCACCCCAUAGUGAUAGCCCAGUCGUUGAUUAUUUUUACGAGAUUAUUCCCGGUAUCCAGGCAGUAGUUGUAUUGCUUGACACGAACCGCCCUGUCCGCCCGCUGGCUGGAGCAGGUACUUACUGGAGGGUUAUGAACGAGCAGCUUAAAUGCAGAGAAACUGAUCGACUUUGCACUUUGGGGCGAUAUCUUCAUGCUUGACUCAAGUUUUAACAGAUAAGCUUUUAAAAGACUUCCUGGGCCGUUGCUAGUCUAUUCAUUCAUCAUGCUUUAAUUUGGCCAUAUAAUGAAGAACGAAUCCCUGCCGAACUGAGUAGGCUUGUAACAAAUUGUUAAGGUACACAAGCGUUCCUUAUGCAUAGUUACUCAUUGUACUACUGCCUAUAAUCGCAUAUCAGACCCAUCUUUAAAAGCAAUACGACUACAGGCAGCGUAGUCGUAGCUAGCUAUAGUAGUUCACAGUUUUUCUUAUCACACCGUAUUUAUUUUACUUACACUACACGUCAUUAGUGAGGACUCGCAUAGAAAAAUUAUUGCAAAAAUAGCUAAUCAUUGAAAAGUGUUCAGAAUUGGCUCAGUAGGUGGUGUAAGAGUUGCUGCAAAGAUUACAUAUUGUCGGAGAUUCGUUCACCGAGAAAUAUCAACAAUAAAGAGAUAUACUCGUUAACGGUGAUUAAAUCCAACAAGUGAAGGAGUUUGUGAGAACAAAUUCAAAUGCGACGUUAAUUGGUUUUCCUGAUAUUUUAAGGUUAUUAUAGAACGAAGCCACACCUUGAAUUGUCAAAAGCACAAAUCUAAAGAACUAAAUAACGGAUCGCCCAGAAAAGUUGAUCGAUUGAUUACCAUCAGCAGAAUCUGAAUCUGGAUGGAUGAGGAUCCUUCCACUAGUGGCGCUACUGCUCCAUUGCUUUGACGUUUGCUAGUGUACACGUUGCUGAAUGAUGAAAAGAAAAAUACAGGCGAUUUGGGUGGUAGUGUGCGUGUUAGGAAGCCGUCAAAUCGCAAUACAUCAUGGCCGACAGUUUUUCGCGCGUUUCUAUCAAUAGGUGGCAGCGUGGAUAUAAAAGACAUCGACAAAUUUUUCAAUGAACUUCCUCUAAGGCCUUCAAAUAUUUGACAAGCCGUAAACCAAAGAUCAAACAUCUGUUUGACACUAAUGAAAAUUCGAUCGAAUCAAACAAGAUGCAUUCACUUCAUUUAAGGCGAAUCCACACUUAUCGUGGGUAGUGUGCCUGCAGGCUGCAGCAAAACACUUCAACAACAAAACGGUACCAACGAAUGUCGGGGUAGCUCUCGAUGACUAAUCGAGGUGUGCAUCACAGCCGAACCAAUUGCAUCAUCUUGUUGAAACUGGACGGAUUUUGCGCGCAGCUGACUGGCGCAUUCAAGCCAUUUAGCAAACAACACUUCAGCACAUGUUAUCAUAGAAGAAAUUCAUAUAUGUAGAUUGUCACACUCCGCUGUUCGACGAUAAAGAAAAACGCAACUUAAGCCUAAGCAAUUUCCUGGAAGUUGAACUGGAUUACUGAGAUUGCAACCUCGCUGGUCGUCGCGCCAGAUCUAACCUGAUAAUUUGUCCAAAUAAAGUCGGGGGACCAUCAUCGAUGCCCCUUCAAUUUCGGAAAAGUUGCAUUAUAAUUUCUGCAUAGGCCGUAUAGGCCUAACAUUUGAACACUCGACUUCUCACGAUGCUGUUCUUCAGCGUUGUUAUCAUUGUUAAAUACCAUAAAGAUGUGUUAAGUCGAGUUAUUGAAAUCUGUUGGGCUACCUAAAGACAAACUUGUCUGUGUAUAGACUUUUACAAUCUUAUCAUUCCAUUGUCUAUCUGUUUCAGUAAAUAUUGGCAGAUGACGUGGAUGAACCGCAAAAGUUAGACAGAACUCGAAACUGAUUGGUGCCGUAAGCCGAAAUGCGCAUAGAUAAGAACGCAAAUAGUUUGACGACCGGACGUCAGGUGAUUGAAUGGUGGAAGCAGUACUUUGAUGAGCACCUGAACGGCGCCGAAACGCAUGAUAUCGAUAGUAUCGCAGCUGAAUUCAUCAAGAUGAGACCACAAGAGUCGGCCACCUGCCUACAUCGGGUGAUAGUCGGGAUCUGGGAAUGUCGAGCGUACCAGGUGGGAUGGUUAGAACACAAGUUUUUUUAUGCUUUCAGAAACUGAGAAUGAAAUUAAGUAUACUUUUUAAGUGUUGCAACGUGUAAAUGAAUAAUACGGCCUCAAUUACCUGAUACCUUGAUACCUUGUUGGCUAAAAAGUAACUUUACUCCAACGCCGAGCGUAUAGUAGAGCACCAUCUUCGUCGGUCUUGGGCGAUGUUCCUCCAGUUUCCCCGGACGUGUAGGGAUCGUAGAUCUUCUUCAACCGCGUGCAGCCAGCGAGCUCGCGGCCGCCCACGAAGUCGCCUACCUCUACCGGGUUCUCUGCUGAUAUUGUUUUCGCUAUUCUUUCUUCCGACAUUCGCACUACGUGUCCAGCCCACUGAAGUCUGCCGUAUUUUAUACGGCAGUGUACGGUCUUCGUACACUUGGUACAACUCGUGAUUCAUGCGUCUGCGCCACACUCCAUUUUCUUGUUUCCCACCGAGAAUUGUCCGCAGCACUUUGCGCUCAAAAACUCCAAAAGCUUUUCGGUCGGUCGACCUCUUUUAACGUCAACGCUUCGUGACCGUAUAGGGCAACCAGAAGAAUCAGCGUCUUACACAGAGCAAAUGUUGUUUGCGUUUGCAAGUUACGGGACCUAAGCUGGCUACGCAAUCCGUAAAAGGCCCUAUUCGCAGCUACAAUAUACGCCUUUCCACUUCACGGGAAACGUCAUUGUCACAUGUCACAAGUGUUUCAAGAUAAACAAAUUCUUCAACAACUUCAAACACUUCCCCAUCAAUCACUACUUACCUUACCGAUCAGGCUAAGGCCGGGGUGGCCUCUGCUGUACAUAGCUGCCGUGAAUCGCAUAUCAGUCCUAUCUUUGCUGGAUUUCCUAUGCAAAUGGGACAGAUAUGCGAUUCACGGCAGAUAGUAGCCGCCUCCAUUCCACUCGGUCCAUGGCUGUUUGUCUCCAGUUCCGCACUCUGCGUAGGGUCCGCAGAUCGUCCUCCACUUGGUCGACCCACCUAGCUCGCUGCGCUCCACGUCUUCUUGUACCCGUCGGAUGACUCUCGAGAACCAUUUUAGUCGGGUUGCUAUCCGACAUCCUGAUGACGUGACCCGCCCACCGUAGCCUCCCGAUUUUCGCAGUGUGGACGUUGGUUGGUUCUCUCAACAGCUGAUGCAGCUCGUGGUUCAUUCGCCUUCUCCAAGUCCCGUCUUCCAUCUGCAUUCCGCCGUAGAUGGUACGCAACACCUUCCGUUCGAAAACUCAAAGGGCGCGUUGGUCCUCUGCACGUAGGGUCCAUGUUUCGUGCCCAUAGAGGACGACCGGUGUAAUCAACGUUUUGUAGAUGGUUAACUUCGUGUUACGGCGAACUUUAUUCGAUCGUAGAGUUCUGCGGAGUCCAAAGUAAGCACGAUUUUCUGCCACAAUGCGCCUCUGAAUUUCUCUGCUGGUGUCGUUGUCGGCGGUCACCAGUGAGCCUAAGUACAAGAAUUCUUCAACCGCCUCGAUUUCAUCACCGUCGAUAUAAAUUCGGGGUGGCGGGCGCGCUGAUUCCUCCCUGGAGCCCUUUGCCAUCAUGUACUUUGUCUUCGACACAUUUAUGACUAAUCCGAUUCGCCUGGCUUCACUCUUUAGUCGGAUGGACGUUUCCGCCAUCGUCUCAAAUUUACGAGCAAUAAUAUCAAUAUCAUCGGCGAAACCAAGCAGCUGAACGGACUUCGUGAAAAUCGUACCACUCGUGUUAAUCCCCGCUCUCCUUACAGCGGUCGUUCGCUCGUUGCAAACCCGCUCGUUGCAACGCUUUUUAGUUGCAAGUCCGCUAAUUGCAAAAUUUGACAAGUUUUUGCAAUUAAAAAGCAAUCAAGUGUCAAAUUUGUGCUGUCAGUCAUGCUGUCAGUGCAUUUCGAUGCACUUUAGUGUCAAAGUGACGUUGCAAUUAGCGAAUGCCAUUCGCUCGUUGCAAUGUAAACAUGUUGCAACGAGCGAACGGCCACUGUAUUACACCCUCUAACGCAAUGUUGAACAGCAAGCACGAAAGACCAUCGCCUUGCCGUAACCCUCUGUGAGAUUCGAAGGGACUCGAGAGUGUCCCUGAUACUCGAACUACGCACAUCACUCGAUCCAUCGUCGCCUUGAUCAACCGUGUCAGUUUAUCCGGGAAUCCGUAUUCGUGCAUAAUCUGUCAUAGCUGUUCUCGAUCGAUUGUAUCAUACGCCGAUUUGAAAUCGAUGAACAAGUGAUGUGUGGGCACGUCAAUCACUACCUCAGCACUAAAACCACUAGGCCUGCUUCUGUCUCUACCCGCUAUAAUGUACUUCGUCUUGGUAGAGUUAAUCGUCAAGCUUAUCUUCAGAGGAGCAUAAGCUUCCUCCACUGCCCUACGAUCGAUGCCGAUGAGAUCAAUAUCGUCCGCAAAACCGAGGAGCAUGUGCGACCGUGUGAUGAUAGAGCCAUUCCUCUGCACGCCUGACCUACUAAUCGCUCCUUCGAGUGCAAUGUUGAACAAUAAAUUUGAAAGAGCGUCCCCCUGCUUCAAUCCAUCCAAGGUCGCAAACGACGUAGACACUUCGUCCGCGAUCCGAAUACUUGAUUUUGAUCCAUCCAGAGUUGCGCAUAUCAGCCUAAUUAGUUUCGCCGGUAAACCAUGUUCUGACAUUACAGCGGCCGUUCGCUCGUUGCAACAUAUUUACUAGUGUGGGUCAUCGGAACCGUUUUCUCAGAUCAAACCUUUUUUGGUUCCGUUUCGAGUCCUGAGUAUCUGUGCAAAAUUUGAGCACGAUCGGUUGCGUCUACACUUUGCGCAUUGCAAUUGAAAUUUGUAUGGGAUUUUGUAUGGAGGAAUUCCACGGAGUCAUGUCAGUCGAUCCUGAGCGACCAUUUCAAAAAUAUCUGAAACUUUGCACAGUUUUUUAAUUUCAUAUAAAUCGCCAUUUUUUGAUAUUAAACCUUCAUAUUCACUCACGACUAACUUUUCAAAAGGGUGUAUGCGAAAAUAGUUCUAAAAUAUUCUAAAAGCUGUACAGCAAAAACGGAUUGUUCGAUUGUUAUAAAUUUUUCAGCAAAGUUAGAUAACUAAAUGAUGAUUCCUUAGAAAAUAUACACUGUAAAAAAUUUCUUUUUCUACUUUGAAAAAAAUAUGAUCUUUGUCACAAAAACUCAAAUAUCUCAAAACCCUAUCUUUUUACCAACUUCAAUUUUUUAGGGGAAAUGGCCCAUUAUAUCAGCUAUCUACCAUAAAAUUUUGGUGAUGGUAAACUGAUAAACAAAAAAGUUAUGACAUUUCAAACAUUUCACAAUUUUUACAUUUAGUAACAAAAAAAAAUUUUUUUCUGUGUAAAUUAUUUCGAGAAUUAUAUUUUGAUGCUGAUUUUAUUGUAAAGGCUACCGCCUGAAUUAAACAAGUUGUUUUCAUGAUACUUUAGUUUGAUUAUUCGUAAUUACUAUAGUAUUUAUUUGAAACUUAGACGCGAUCCAGUGUUGUGAUCAAAAAUAUUGAGAUUGUCAUACUUUUUAUUGUACGUGACUGGUGAAAAAAUCCCUUGAUAGUGUUGAAAAGCUGUUGAUUAUAAGAAAAAUGGAAUUGAAUUUAUUUUUAAGACAAAAGCUGUAUAAUAAAAGUUUUAUAUACGCGUAUACGUCUAGUUUAUCCGCAAAAUAAAUCCCUCUUACACACUUAUUUCUGAAUUGCCUGUUCGGUACUUUUUUGACGAGAUUAUAACAGCAGUACGA